UGGGGAAUAUUGCGCAAUGGGGGGAACCCUGACGCAGCCAUGCCGCGUGAAUGAAGAAGGCCUUGGGGUUGUAAAGUUCUUUCGGUAUUGAGGAAGGUUGAUGUGUUAAUAGCACAUCAAAUUGACGUUAAAUACAGAAGAAGCACCGGCUAACUCCGUGCCAGCAGCCGCGGUAAUACGGAGGGUGCGAGCGUUAAUCGGAAUAACUGGGCGUAAAGGGCACGCAGGCGGUUAUUUAAGUGAGGUGUGAAAGCCCUGGGCUUAACCUAGGAAUUGCAUUUCAGACUGGGUAACUAGAGUACUUUAGGGAGGGGUAGAAUUCCACGUGUAGCGGUGAAAUGCGUAGAGAUGUGGAGGAAUACCGAAGGCGAAGGCAGCCCCUUGGGAAUGUACUGACGCUCAUGUGCGAAAGCGUGGGGAGCAAACAGGAUUAGAUACCCUGGUAGUCCACGCUGUAAACGCUGUCGAUUUGGGGGUUGGGGUUUAACUCUGGCGCCCGUAGCUAACGUGAUAAAUCGACCGCCUGGGGAGUACGGCCGCAAGGUUA
rnacentral:rRNA from 1 species